rnacentral:lncRNA from 10 species
AGACUUUUAAGUUGACUCAUUUGGGAAUAAACGUGAGAUUAUAUAAAUUAGGCAGAGACAUUUAAAAGACCAUAUCUAUGGAAAUCGUGUGAUGCUGGAUAACCAAGGGCUGAAAUAUAGUUGGUACUUUUUUUCUUUUCCAUGCAAUGCCUCACAACCCUUCCUCCCUCUUCAAGUAACAGUACUCUGGUUUUCCUUUGGGGAACAGCCCUUACCCAUUUCAUUUGGUCCAAGUUUGACUGACAACCAUGGGAUGCCUAUUCCCCAACACACACACACACCCCUGACCUGAGAGGAAGGGUUCUGACCCAAGCUAAGCCAAGAAGACUCCCAAGCAGGAAGCUAAGCAAACCAAGCCAACUCCUGUCUACUGGAUCUGUGCAGGACCUGCCCCACGCGACCAUGAAGCAGCAGCAAGGGCUAGAUGGUGACAUACCAGUGGCCAUAUUUUAGAAGAGGGAUAUCUGCCAAAAUGCCUCAA